rnacentral:ncRNA from 1 species
UUAAAGACGUUGAUCAGAACCGAUUAAUGAAUCAAAUCACAGAGAGCUUAUCAAGGUGGGAGUUAAGCAUUUGAGCAUUAAUCGUCACAUCUGGGAGUCAUUUUUCUGAAGCUGAGUAGGAAAAAGCGGUAAGCACGUUAUUGCUGAAGUUUAGUAUGUUGCAUAUUAAACCCAUUGAGGCCUUUCAUGUGAGUGAGAGGUGAAUCAGAGGUGGAACCGCGAAUAAUCGUCCUCUUA